rnacentral:rRNA from 1 species
UACGUAGGUGGCAAGCGUUAUCCGGAAUUACUGGGCGUAAAGCGCACGCAGGCGGCCUUUUAAGUUUGACGUGAAAGCUCCCGGCUUAACUGGGAGAGGUCGUUGAAGACUGGAAGACUUGAGGCAAUGAGAGGGGUGUAGAAUUCCCGGUGUAGUGGUGGAAUGCGUAGAUAUCGGGGGGAAUACCAGUGGCGAAAGCGGCACCCUAGCGUUAGCCUGACGCUCAUGUGCGAAAGCGUGGGGAGCGAACGGG